rnacentral:rRNA from 1 species
CUGUAUUCUGAAGUCAGUUUCCUGAGUAUCGGUGUUUAAGUCUUCUGGAAAGGAGCGCCCUGGAGGGUGAUANCCCCGUACGACACCUCACUCAUUGUAGGAUUCUGACGUGGAGUCNAGUUGUUUGGGAAUGCAGCUCAAAAGGGUGGUAUGCUCCAUCUAAAGCUAAAUAUCUGUGAGAGACCGAUAGCGAACAAGUACUGUGAAGGAAAGAUGAAAAGAACUUUGAAAAGAGAGUGAAAAAGUACGUGAAAUUGUUGAAAUGGAAGGAUAUGCCGCUAACAAUGUAU